CAGUGAUCAGAAGUGAGAAUGUUGACAUGAGUAGCGACAAACAGGGUGAGAGACCCUGUCGCCGAAAGUCCAAGGGUUCCUGCUUAAAGCUAAUCUGAGCAGGGUAAGCCGGCCCCUAAGGCGAGGCCGAAAGGCGUAGUCGAUGGGAACCAGGUUAAUAUUCCUGGGCCAGGAGAUGGUGACGGAUCCCGAGGGUAGUUUCUUCUUAUCGGAUUGAAGAGGCUGCUUAGGGGUUCCUGGAAAUAGCCCUCCACAAGACCGUACCCUAAACCGACACAGGUGGACUGGUAGAGAAUACCAAGGCGCUUGAGAGAACCACAUUUAAGGAACUCGGCAAAAUACCUCCGUAAGUUCGCGAGAAGGAGGCCCGGUUGGCACGCAAGUGUUGGCUGGGGGCACAAACCAGGGGGUGGCGACUGUUUACUAAAAACACAGGGCUCUGCGAAGCCGUAAGGCGACGUAUAGGGUCUGACGCCUGCCCGGUGCCGGAAGGUUAAAAGGAGAUGUGCAAGCAUUGAAUUGAAGCCCCGGUAAACGGCGGCCGUAACUAUAACGGUCCUAAGGUAGCGAAAUUCCUUGUCGGGUAAGUUCCGACCUGCACGAAUGGCGUAACGACUUCCCCGCUGUCUCAAAUGUGGACUCAGCGAAAUUGAAUUGUCUGUGAAGAUGCAGACUUCCCGCGGUUAGACGGAAAGACCCCAUGCACCUUUACUAUAGCUUCGCACUGGCAUCAGGAUUGUGAUGUGCAGGAUAGGUGGUAGGCAUUGAAGCAGUGACGCCAGUUGCUGUGGAGCCAUCCUUGAGAUACCACCCUUCGCACUCUUGAUGUCUAACCGCGGCCCGUUAUCCGGGUCCGGGACCCUGCGUGGUGGGUAGUUUGACUGGGGCGGUCGCCUCCCAAAGAGUAACGGAGGCGCGCGAAGGUUGGCUCAGAGCGGUCGGAAAUCGCUCGUUGAGUGCAAUGGCAGAAGCCAGCCUGACUGCAAGACUGACAAGUCGAGCAGAGACGAAAGUCGGCCAUAGUGAUCCGGUGGUCCCGAGUGGAAGGGCCAUCGCUCAACGGAUAAAAGGUACGCUGGGGAUAACAGGCUGAUGAUGCCCAAGAGUCCAUAUCGACGGCAUCGUUUGGCACCUCGAUGUCGGCUCAUCUCAUCCUGGGGCUGGAGCAGGUCCCAAGGGUAUGGCUGUUCGCCAUUUAAAGAGGUACGUGAGCUGGGUUUAGAACGUCGUGAGACAGUUCGGUCCCUAUCUGCCGUGGGUGUAGGAUACUUGAGAGGAGUUGCCCCUAGUACGAGAGGACCGGGGUGAACGUUCCACUGGUGGACCAGUUGUCGUGCCAACGGCAGUGCUGGGUAGCUAUGAACGGACAGGAUAAACGCUGAAGGCAUCUAAGCGUGAAGCCCCCCUCAAAACAAGGUAUCCCUUGAGAGCCGUGGAAGACCACCACGUCGAUAGGCCGGAGAUGUAAGUGCAGUAAUGCAUUCAGUUGACCGGUACUAAUGGCUCGAC
rnacentral:rRNA from 1 species